UUUAGUAACAAGUUUGAUGCCCUUUAUUGAAUGGAAGCCAAUCCACAAACCGGGAGAGUACAGCACCUCACAAGCAGUGGAGCACUGUUCUCGCGGGAUUUGGGGCGAGAGCGAGUUUUAUACAGCACGGGAAGCAGCAAUGCGGAAAGAGGGCCUGAUGGACUGUGUUGGCUGUUAGACCUUUAGAAAGCUCAAGCAACCAGGAGGUAAGAGAAGAGCUCAGAGUUGACUUGGCGCUGCGGAUUGGCUGACCGGAUAGACUGCGUUUCUGUGGACUCUGGGCAUUUGAAGGAACAUGGAAGUUAGGUUUAUUGACGUGGCACCCCGGGCAGGAGCAGCUCCAUCUUGGGCCCAGGAAUUUAUUUCAGCAGUACCCUCACGUUUUUAUUAACGCAUUCCCGGCACGUUUGUGGAAGACGUCCGGGCCGGGUCAGAGUAGCUGAUGCGAAGCUGCACAAGUUCCUGACUCCGCGUGUGUAACUUCCGUGCGCUCACCGUUGCGUCAGGGAGGCUGACACACAACAACUGUAACGCUGAGGGAGGGCCGCACGGUGAUGAAGACUGCGCUUGACUCUCGGGAGCAGGCCUCAUUAAUUCUUCAUGGAGAGGUCAGGAGGAUCCUUACAGAGGAGGUAGCAUUUGAAAGAGUUUUGGCAGAAGGAGUGGAAUUUCCCCUAGCAGACAUUAAUGGCAGUCCAGUCAGAGUGAAUCGUGUGAGCAAAGGCAAGGAGACCUGAAACUACGUGAUCUUUUUUCUUGAUUUUAAGUCUGGAAGUUCCUUUUAUGGGUAAUCUGAGCUAUUUGUGCCUAUGAGGAAAAGUUUGAAGAAAAUGGUGAGGGGCUUGAGUCCGAGAGGAAGUGAGCGUCUGUGUUCUCCCUCCCCUCCGCUUCCAACUAGGAAGGCCCAUCAGGUUGCUGGUGGGAUACCCUUUUAACUGUCAGAGGAACUGCUUUGGCUUCUCUGAGGCGUCUGGGGCACGUGACCACAAACUAGGGUAACUGGGUGCUCUCUCCCGGAAUCCAGCCCUUGAGCUUGAGAGACACAAGACGGAAACAGGGAUGAAACCAUUCAUCAAGCUGGUUGUAGCCUCAACAAGACCAUCUGUUUGUUUCUGUUCCCAGAGCACUGAGGUUGCUUCUCUUUAGGAACCUAGUUCCACCUUUUCCUAACAAUAAACUGCUCUUUGCUGGAAGUAUAGCAUGGAAUGUCAACAAAUGAGAUCAAGGCAGAAAUAAGAAGACAUGGCAACCAAAGGAGAAAAUGUUUUUCAAGAGAUGCUUCAGUUGUCUCCCAAGUUUAUUAUUGCAAUUGAUCACACUUACAAAAAUAACAGUUAUAAUGCAAGUGAGAGGGUUACAAUAUAAUGUAAAGAAUUCUGUCCGUAUACCAUUCAACAACUUUAUUUCCACUGCAAACUGGCGUUAUGCUGCACAUAAAUUAUCUUGCAGCAGGAUACCACUAGUGGAUUAUGUUACAAUAUGUUAUUUGUUAUAAGAAUAACAAUAAUGUUGCAGACUAUUUAUUGAAAUACCUAAACACAACUGGAAAAAAAUGACAUCCUUUGCUAGGUCAGCUCUAUUUUCCAUACUCAUCUUGACCAUUACUUCUCAUUAUUAGGUUUCUGGGAAGAUUAUUCUCCAGCUGACAGGCUUUCAGAGCUGUAAUUUAGAGGAAUAAAACUAGGUAACAAAUGACUGUAUUUAAAUGUUGUGGCACAGAGUUCAUUCUCUUCAUUUCACAUGGUAAAUAAUGUCUUCCAAUAGAAAAGAUUCUUCUGGGCUUGAAUUGUUCCCUUGUUCCUGAUAUAUUGGACACUGUAGGAGUAGUAGAUAUUUAAAUUUUAUAAUGUAAAUGUCAUAAAUGCUACUUCAUGAUGUUGAAGACCAUUACCGAGCUUUUGAGUUUUUAUUACAUCCACUUUUGUACAUUUUCUUAGUUAAUUUUCAUAACAACCA
rnacentral:lncRNA from 1 species